CGGACUGUCGUAUAGUGGUAGUAUGCAUGUUUUGGGUACAUGCGGUCCGGGUUCGAUUCCCGGCAGUCCGA
rnacentral:tRNA from 1 species